rnacentral:rRNA from 1 species
AAUUCGAUUGAGUUUGAUCAUGGCUCAGGACGAACGCUGGCGGCGUGCUUAACACAUGCAAGUGGAGCGGCGAACCAGGCUUCGGCCUGGGGCAGAGCCGCGAACGGGUGAGUAACACGUGGGUAACGUGCCCCAAUGAUCGGGACAACCCGGGGAAACCCGGGCUAAUACCGAAUGUGCUCCCCUCACAUCAGUGAGAGGUGAAAAGGAAGCUUCGGCCUCCGCAUUGGGAUCGGCCCGCGGCCCAUUAGCUUGUUGGUGAGGUAACGGCUCACCAAGGCUGCGAUGGGUAGCUGGUCUGAGAGGACGAUCAGCCACACUGGGACUGAGACACGGCCCAGACUCCUACGGGAGGCAGCAGUGGGGAAUCUUGCGCAAUGCGCGAAAGCGUGACGCAGCAACGCCGCGUGGGGGAAGAAGGCCUUCGGGUUGUAAACCCCUUUCAGGAGGGACGAAGCCCGAGCGGUUAAUAGCCGACUCGGGUGACGGUACCUCCAGAAGAAGCCCCGGCUAACUACGUGCCAGCAGCCGCGGUAAUACGUAGGGGGCAAGCGUUGUCCGGAAUCAUUGGGCGUAAAGAGCGUGUAGGCGGUCCGGUAAGUCGGCUGUGAAAGUCCAGGGCUCAACCCUGGGAUGCCGGUCGAUACUGCCGGACUAGAGUUCGGAAGAGGCGAGUGGAAUUCCCGGUGUAGCGGUGAAAUGCGCAGAUAUCGGGAGGAACACCUAUGGCGAAGGCAGCUCGCUGGGACGUU